CGAAGGUCGGAGAGAUGAGCGAUUGAAGAGAGGUUCGUGAUUGAGAGUUGAGGGCGAGAGAGGUCAGAGAUGAUGAGAGGGCGAGGGAGGUUGGAGAUUCGUCUUCGUGAGGAAGACGAAUAUUUGUUUGCGUCUGACGUUUUUUCUCUCAAUUCCUUUUCCCUUAUUUAUUUUUUAAAAAUAGAAAGACAAUUAAAAUCCAUUUAAGUGACCAUUUAGUUGUCU
rnacentral:lncRNA from 1 species